rnacentral:rRNA from 1 species
ACGUAGGGUGCGAGCGUUAAUCGGAAUUACUGGGCGUAAAGCGUGCGCAGGCGGUUGUGCAAGACAGAUGUGAAAUCCCCGGGCUCAACCUGGGAACUGCAUUUGUGACUGCACGACUAGAGUACGGCAGAGGGGGGUAGAAUUCCACGUGUAGCAGUGAAAUGCGUAGAGAUGUGGAGGAAUACCGAUGGCGAAGGCAGCCCCCUGGGCCGAUACUGACGCUCAUGCACGAAAGCGUGGGGAGCAAACAG